UACGUAGGUGGCAAGCGUUGUCCGGAUUUAUUGGGUUUAAAGGGUGCGUAGGCGGCUUUGUAAGUCAGUGGUGAAAUAUGGCAGCUCAACUGUUGCACUGCCAUUGAUACUGGAUGACUUGAGUACAGACGAGGUAGGCGGAAUUUAUGGUGUAGCGGUGAAAUGCAUAGAUACCAUAAAGAACACCGAUUGCGAAGGCAGCUUACUAGGCUGUAACUGACGCUGAGGCACGAAAGCGUGGGGAUCGAACAGG
rnacentral:rRNA from 1 species